rnacentral:misc_RNA from 1 species
GAUGAAGAACGUAGUGAAAUGCGAUAAGUAAUGUGAAUUGCAGAAUUCAGUGAAUCAUCGAAUCUUUGAACGCACAUUGCGCCCGCCAGUAUUCUGGCGGGCAUGCCUGUUCGAGCGUCAUUUCAACCAUCAAGCCCCCGGCUUGUGUUGGGGACCUGCGGCUGCCGCAGGCCCUGAAAAGCAGUGGCGGGCUCGCUGUCACACCGAGCGUAGUAGCAUACAUCUCGCUCUGGGCGUGCUGCGGGUUCCGGCCGUUUAACCACCUUCAUAACCCAAGGUUGACCUCGGAUCAGGUAGGAAGACCCGCUGAACUUAAGCAUAUCAAUAAGCGGAGGA